CCAGAGUAAGAAGGAUGAGAAGACGAAGCUCCAAAAUUUCCAUCACAUAUUCAAACCAGAAUGCCAGAAUCUUCACAAGAUUGUAUUGCAAGGUGAACUUCUUCAAUCAGUUGGAGGCCUUAAGAGCAAAGACAAGUUUCCCAAAGAAGGAAUUGAGCUUCACAGCUGCAACACAGAAAUUCUGCCCGAGGUUCCAACAUACCUGGCCUGCCCUGUAGAAUUUGCACUCAAGAUUGCAACACCAACUCUUAGCUGAAUUCCCAGCCUGCCAGUCUGCCCUGCAAAUUUCAA